rnacentral:rRNA from 1 species
AGGGCGCACGGUGGAUGCCUUGGCACUAGAAGCCGAAGAAGGACGUGACAAACGACGAAAUGCCUCGGGGAGCUGUAAGUAAGCACUGAUCCGGGGAUGUCCGAAUGGGGGAACCCACUAGCUACUGGCUAGUACUCUUAUCUGUUAAGGAUAGGAAGAGGAAGACGCAGUGAACUGAAACAUCUAAGUAGCUGCAGGAAGAGAAAGCAAACGCGAUUGCCUGAGUAGCGGCGAGCGAAACGGCAGGAGGGCAAACCGAAGAGUUUACUCUUCGGGGUUGUAGGACUGCAAUGUGGACUUAAAGAUUAUAGAAGAACUACCUGGGAAGGUAGGCCAAAGAGAGUAAGAGCCUCGUAUUUUAAAUAGUCUUUAUACCUAGCAGUAUCCUGAGUACGGCGGGACACGAGAAAUCCCGUCGGAAUCUGGGAGGACCAUCUCCCAACCCUAAAUACUCUCUAGUGACCGAUAGUGAACCAGUACCGUGAGGGAAAGGUGAAAAGCACCCCGGGAGGGGAGUGAAAUAGAACCUGAAACCGUGUGCCUACAACAAGUUCGAGCCCGUUAAUGGGUGAGAGCGUGCCUUUUGUAGAAUGAACCGGCGAGUUACGAUAUGAUGCGAGGUUAAGUUGAAGAGACGGAGCCGUAGGGAAACCGAGUCUGAAUAGGGCGAAUUAGUAUUAUGUCGUAGACCCGAAACCAUGUGACCUACCCAUGAGCAGGUUGAAGGUGAGGUAAAACUCACUGGAGGACCGAACCAGGGCACGUUGAAAAGUGCUUGGAUGACUUGUGGGUAGCGGAGAAAUUCCAAACGAACUUGGAGAUAGCUGGUUCUCUCCGAAAUAGCUUUAGGGCUAGCGUCGACAUCAAGAUUCUUGGAGGUAGAGCACUGUUUGGGUGAGGGGUCCAUCCCGGAUUACCAAUCUCAGAUAAACUCCGAAUGCCAAAGAAUUAUGGUCGGCAGUCAGACUGCGAGUGCUAAGAUCCGUAGUCGAAAGGGAAACAGCCCAGACCACCAGCUAAGGUCCCAAAAUAAUUGUUAAGUGGAAAAGGAUGUGGGGUUGCACAGACAACUAGGAUGUUAGCUUAGAAGCAGCUAUUCAUUCAAAGAGUGCGUAAUAGCUCACUAGUCGAGUGACCCUGCGCCGAAAAUGUACCGGGGCUAAAACAAUUUACCGAAGCUGUGGAUACCUUUAUAGGUAUGGUAGGAGAGCGUUCUAUGUGUGGCGAAGGUGUACCGUGAGGAGCGCUGGAACGCAUAGAAGUGAGAAUGCCGGUAUGAGUAGCGAAAGACAGGUGAGAAUCCUGUCCACCGUAAGACUAAGGUUUCCAGGGGAAGGCUCGUCCGCCCUGGGUUAGUCGGGACCUAAGGAGAGACCGAAAGGUGUAUCCGAUGGACAACAGGUUGAUAUUCCUGUACUAGAGUAUGUAGUGAAGGAGGGACGCAGUAGGCUAACUAAAGCGUGCGAUUGGAAGUGCACGUCUAAGCAGUGAGGUGUGAAUUGAGUUAAAUGCUUAAUUCUAUAACAUUGAGCUGUGAUGGGGAGCGAAGUUUAGUAGCGAAGUUAGUGAUGUCACACUGCCAAGAAAAGCUUCUAGCGUUAAUCAUACUCUACCCGUACCGCAAACCGACACAGGUAGUCGAGGCGAGUAGCCUCAGGUGAGCGAGAGAACUCUCGUUAAGGAACUCGGCAAAAUGACCCCGUAACUUCGGGAGAAGGGGUGCUGGCUUAAGGUCAGCCGCAGUGAAUAGGCCCAAGCAACUGUUUAUCAAAAACACAGCUCUCUGCUAAAUCGUAAGAUGAUGUAUAGGGGGUGACGCCUGCCCGGUGCUGGAAGGUUAAGAGGAGUGCUUAGCGGUGACGCGAAGGUAUGAAUUGAAGCCCCAGUAAACGGCGGCCGUAACUAUAACGGUCCUAAGGUAGCGAAAUUCCUUGUCGGGUAAGUUCCGACCCGCACGAAAGGCGUAAUGAUUUGGGCACUGUCUCAACGAGAGACUCGGUGAAAUUUUAGUACCUGUGAAGAUGCAGGUUACCCGCGACAGGACGGAAAGACCCCAUGGAGCUUUACUGCAGUUUGAUAUUGAGUGUCUGUGCCACAUGUACAGGAUAGGUAGGAGCCAUAGAGAUCGGGACGCCAGUUUCGAUGGAGGCGUUGUUGGGAUACUACCCUUGUGUUAUGGCCACUCUAACCCGGAUAGGUGAUCCCUAUCGGAGACAGUGUCUGACGGGCAGUUUGACUGGGGCGGUCGCCUCCUAAAAGGUAACGGAGGCGCCCAAAGGUUCCCUCAGAAUGGUUGGAAAUCAUUCGCAGAGUG